UUUUGUGUAGUAGUCAAUGGAAAAAAUCUGCAACUAAAUUUGUUUUGACUAACUUUAUUUCCGAAAAUCUGUAUAAUAUUAUAUGAUAAGUCAGUAUCUUAUGUGUCACUUUCGUAUUGAUUCUUAUAGAUAAUUACAAUGAUAAUUUGAGUUAGUUAUAUUUUAAUAACUUUUUUGUUUAUAUUUAUUUCUAAAUUAUCUUAUUAUCAAAAAGGCAAUAUAUAUAAUAUAAUAUAGUAAUUUUUAUUUAAAAGGGUAAUUCUACUCGAUACCAUUUUUCAAUUUUCAUCCCAAAAUAGUAUCUCAAACUAAAUAUCAGAAAUAUAAUUUUUAUUAAUAGGUCAAAAGACAAUAAUACCCUUCAACAUAUUAAUAGCAAUAAAAAAACAAACGAAAAAGCUAUAAUCUUCGUUUUUCUACCUCUGACUUUUGCCGCCGCCGUCUCUUCUCGACAUGGCCGGAGACAAAAUCGAACGCUAAAGCAACGAGCUGGGCCGUCUUAUGAGGGAUGGCGGUUAAUGCGACCGUCCUGGGGCCUGCUUCAAAUCAUGUUAUGUUAAGGGCCUUCAUUCUUUUUUUAGCAUGUUUUGUUUAGAUUUGGAUAGUAUAAAAAAAUAAUAUUACAGAAUUUUUUUAACUAGAAAAUCAAAUACAAAUUCUUAAAUGAUGCUAUGCCUGAGUUGAAAAGUCAAAGAAACAUAAUAUUUUUAAAACCGACUGGUUAGGGGACCCAAAAAAAAUUUCUGCCUUGGGGCCUCUGGUUAUGUUAAGCUGGCCCCGGCUAGGAGCACCUAUCAUAGGUUUCUUUUUCCGUUUUAUGAAUCUGAUAUCUUCAGAACUUCUCUCACUUGUAUUUGAUUUCGAUUUCUUCAUACUUCAAAUAAUAGGAAGGAAGAAGAAGACACGAUGACGAAGGACCCAAAAAAAAAAAACUAAGAGACCUCAAGUGCUUUCUUCGUCUUCAUGUAAACCUCACAAUCUCUUCAAUUUCAUAUUAUCCUCACAGUUUUCUUUUCAGUUUCAACUGCAUAAUCUUCGUCACAAAGAUAAUUUUCAACAGGAGUUUAACAAGGCAAACCCUAACAACAAGUCACCGUUGGUAAGGCUGCUGGAGCUAAAUGGAAAUCUAUGACUGGGAAAGUGAGUAUUGUACCGUUAAAAAGGGUUCCAUCUUUGUGGAACGUGCUAAAAAAACUACAGAUUUUUUUUGUUGUUUGAAUGUGUAACAUAGGAGAAAGCGCCUUAUGCUUCCAAGGCAGAGUGCAAAAAGAAUAAAUAUGUUAUGAGUAUGCAACAUGAAAUUGGUAAUAAAAACCCAUCUUUGACAUUCUAGAGGGAGAGAGAUUGUGUGUAUUAUCGUCUUACUGUAAACCUAAGAAACCGUCAAAAUGAAUAUUAUAAAGUACUAGAGGUUGACCGGCGCGUAGCGCCGGAUUUUCUAUUAUUGUUAUUAUUUUAAAUUAUUUAAUAGAAUAAUUUGUGUUAUUAAUUAUAUUUGUUUUUGAUUCUUUUGUUCUUUUGUGAUAUUGUUUUAUUAUAUUGGUAGCAUAUAUGAUGUUUUUAACUUUUAUAUUUUGGAAAUUGUUCAAUAAUUAAAUAAUUUAGUUUAGAAAGUAUAGUAGCCAAAUUGGUCAGUUAUUAUAUAAGAUCAUUUGAUAAAUUCACACAAUUACUUCGCAUAUAUCCAGUCAUGUUCCUUGUCUAAAGACCGAUAAAAUAUAAGCUGCAAUCUAACUUGGAGUAAAAUAAACACAAUAAAAAUAAAAAGAGAUGAAUGGUAUUUAUUUUUUGGUUUUCAAAAUUUGUGGUCACCUGGACUUGUUUUAGUGCAACUUUGAUUGUUGGAAAAUUUGUAACAAAUAUUACAUGCCCGACAGUGGUCAUUGUCUUAAAGAUUGAGGUUUUGAAUUUUCCUAUUGGCUACCUUACAGAAAAGAAAAGGAAUCACGACAAAUCAAGCAUCAUAUUACAAUUAUGCAAGUAAAUUUCAUUCUCAACAAAAUCAAGUAAUCAACACAAUCAAAUAAUUUAAUCACAGCAUACUCGUCGCACCAAAAAAGUGAAAGAGGAGCUAGUAUUUCACAUGAAUAUCUCGCAUGAAGACUAAACAACCAACACACGUUUUGUGUUAAUUGUUUCUCCUCUAUUGGAAUAAUCAUUAAAAACAGAAACGAGUGAGUAUUGUGCGGGCUCUUGCAUAUCAAAAGGGGUUCAACGAAGCAUUUCUCCUUGGUGUCUUGUCUUGUCUGCAGCAGGUUCAUAAGAAACUGCAUUUGUUCCUUCUUCUCCAUGGUCUCUAAGACGCUCCGACUUGAAUCUAGAACCAAAGAUCAAAACCAUGAAA